rnacentral:tRNA from 1 species
GCGAAUGUAGCUCAGUUGGUAGAGCGCUGGAUUGUGGCUCCGGAGGUCGCAGGUUCGAGACCUGUCAUUCGCCCCA